AGAGUGAGCUGUUUUUAUGUUCCAGCCACAUUUCCGGUUCUAGUUCCCAGGACAAUCCGCCGUCAGUUGUUUUAAAUUGUUUUUAAUUUGAUGCUUGCACACCUAGGACACGUUAUUUCAGAAUCCUAGUGAUAUUAUAUGUGCUUAUUCAUUCAACACCCACUGAAACUAAACCAUUUGUGGAAGAGUUCCAAGUCAAAGCAAAUGAACCAAAUCUGCAUUGUGUUUACAUCAAUUUGAGCACAAACUUACGGUAGAGCUGAGACAUGUUCUCAACAACCUUAAUUGAUCAAGAGAUUGGUUGCAGCAAAACCCAGUAUACACCAUGGAGACCAAGCAGUUCGUGAACCACCUGCUUUUGUGGAUUUCCUGAAACUCGUGGGGAACGGGAGAGUCCUUGGAGCCGCGGUCCAUCUCCCUUACUCGUGAGACAGAUGAAUACCGCGAAGGUUGCCGUUCCGCUCGCCAUCGGUGAACAUUCUGUCAUGGGCCUUCGCGUGGGCGUAGCACACCGCUGAUGCGUGAGCCACAGGCUACGCGAGUCUGAUUGGGGCCCGACGCGAACCCGGAGCUCAGCCGCCCCCACACUUCCCCCGGCCUCGCUCGUUUACAAAAGGUGCCUCGUCACCGCGUGGGACCAGCUGCGCUCGGUGAUUGCUUGUGACAUCACUACGCAAGCCUGCGGAUAAGACGGUCCACAGCUACCGGGGUUUCCGUGACUCUGCGUUUAAGGGAGGAGCAGAGCGGGAGGAAGAGGGAAAGGCCAUGCAGCUGUUUGGAAUUAGGGGAAGAUGGCGAGGGCUCGCCCAGCGGCACGCAGGAAAUAAAGGAGGCGGGGAGAAGAGCGGGAGACGGACAGCUGUCCCGUCGCAGCCGUCCCGCAGCCCAGGGUACACGAGACGCACCGUGUCUCCUUUUGGGGGGGGACAGGGUGUACUUGGACCUCUGAGUUCCGCCUGGAGCGUCGCAGCAAAGCAGAGCCUCAACCAAGGGCGUCACACAGGCAUUACAGCCGCUAUAACUUUAACUUUUCACCAUGAAACUUUCAGUUACGUGCUUCAAUUUUUUGAGUCCAUUACUUUAGCUAAUAAAUAUUAUUGCGUCAUUG